CGAAAGGAUAAACGAAGGCUUAACUGUCUCUUUAACAUCCAUAAAAAUUGGCCUUUAGGUGAAAAGACCUAAAUUUUAUUAGAGGACAAAAAGACCCCGUAGAGCUUAGUGUCUCAAUAAUUAUAGUCGUUUUUUUAAACAACAAACAUAUAUUAACAAAAUACACUUGGCUGGGGCGGUCAUGGAGAAAAAAACCUCCACAAACUAUUUAAGAUUAAUUAAAUCUUUACUUAUUAUGAUCCUUUAUAAGAUCAAAAAAAUUAGCUACCUCGGGGAUAACAGAUUAAUCCUUUUCGAGAGCUCACAUUGACAAAAGGGUUUGACACCUCGAUGUUGGCUUAGGAUACCCUAAGGGUCCGCAGAAG
rnacentral:rRNA from 1 species